rnacentral:rRNA from 1 species
AUGAAAUCUACCUUAUACAGGGGUAUAGCCCGGAGAAAUCCGAUUAAUCCCCCAUAGUAUUGAUAUAUGGCAUCAUGUAUUAAUUAAAGAUUAUUUCGGUAUAAGAUGAUCAUGCGUCUUAUUAGCUAGUUGGUGUGGUAACGGCAUACCAAGGCAUCGAUAAGUAGGGGUUCUGAGAGGGAGGUCCCCCACACUGGUACUGAGACACGGACCAGACUCCUACGGGAGGCAGCAGUGAGGAAUAUUGGACAAUGGGCUAUGGCCUGAUCCAGCCAUGCCGCGUGCAGGAUGACUGCCUUAUGGGUUGUAAACUGCUUUUCUGGGGGAAGAAUAAUAUCGAUUUUUCGAUAGAUGACGGUACUUCAGGAAUAAGCAUCGGCUAACUCCGUGCCAGCAGCCGCGGUAAUACGGAGGAUGCAAGCGUUAUCCGGAAUCAUUGGGUUUAAAGGGUCCGCAGCUGUUUAAUAAGUCAGUGGUGAAAUUCUCCGGCUUAACCGGCAGAUUGCCAUUGAUACUGUUAAACUUGAAUUGCUAAGAAGUAAUUAGAAUGUGUAGUGUAGCGGUGAAAUGCAUAGAUAUUACACAGAAUACCAAUUGCGAAGCAGAUUACUAUUAUUAAAUUGACGCUGAUGGACGAAAGCGUGGGGAGCGAACAGGAUUAGAUACCCUGGUAGUCCACGCUGUAAACGAUGGAUACUAGCUGUUUGUUGUUUUAAAUGAUGAGUAGCUAAGCGAAAGUGAUAAGUAUCCCACCUGGGGAGUAC